UACGGAAGGCAGCAGUGGGGAAUAUUGCACAAUGGGCGCAAGCCUGAUGCAGCCAUGCCGCGUGUAUGAAAAAGGCCUUCGGGUUGUAAAGUACUUUCAGUCGUGAGGAAGGUGUUAAGGUUAAUAACCUUAGCAAUUGACGUUAGCGACAGAAGAAGCACCGGCUAACUCCGUGCCAGCAGCCGCGGUAAUACGGAGGGUGCGAGCGUUAAUCGGAAUUACUGGGCGUAAAGGGCACGCAGGCGGUUAAUUAAGUUGGAUGUGAAAUCCCCGGGCUUAACCUGGGAAUGGCAUUCAAGACUGGCUAGCUAGAGUCUUGUAGAGGGGGUAGAAUUCCAUGUGUAGCGGUGAAAUGCGUAGAGAUGUGGAGGAAUACCGGUGGCGAAGGCGGCCCCUGGACAAAGACUGACGCUCAUGUGCGAAAGCGUGGGGAGCAAACAGGGAUUAGAUACC
rnacentral:rRNA from 1 species